GACGAACGCUGGCGGCGUGCCUAAUACAUGCAAGUCGAACGAACCGCGACUAAGUGCUUGCACUAAGUCAAGGUGAGUGGCGAACGGGUGAGUAACACGUGGGUAACCUACCUCAUAGUGGGGGAUAACAGUCGGAAACGACUGCUAAUACCGCAUAGGACAUAGGAUCACAUGAUCCAGUGAGGAAAGGUGGCGCAAGCUAUCGCUAAGAGAUGGACCCGCGGUGCAUUAGCUAGUUGGUAGGGUAAAGGCCUACCAAGGCGAUGAUGCAUAGCCGACCUGAGAGGGUGAUCGGCCACUUUGGGACUGAGACACGGCCCAAACUCCUACGGGAGGCAGCAGUAGGGAAUCUUCCGCAAUGGACGCAAGUCUGACGGAGCAACGCCGCGUGAGUGAAGAAGGUCUUCGGAUCGUAAAGCUCUGUUGUUAGAGAAGAACAGCGCAUAGAGUAACUGCUAUGCGUGUGACGGUAUCUAACCAGAAAGCCACGGCUAACUACGUG
rnacentral:rRNA from 1 species